rnacentral:rRNA from 1 species
UACGGGGGGGGCAAGCGUUGUUCGGAAUUACUGGGCGUAAAGGGCGCGUAGGCGGCUUUGCGUGUCUUUCGUGAAAUCCCUCGGCUCAACUGAGGACGUGCGGAAGAAACUGCAGGGCUGGAGUCCGGGAGAGGAGGGUGGAAUUCCCAGUGUAGCGGUGAAAUGCGUAGAUAUUGGGAGGAACACCGGUGGCGAAGGCGGCCCUCUGGACCGGUACUGACGCUGAUGCGCGAAAGCGUGGGGAGCAAACGGG